rnacentral:rRNA from 1 species
CACGUAGGGCGCAAGCGUUGUCCGGAAUUAUUGGGCGUAAAGAGCUCGUAGGCGGUCUGUUGCGUCCGCUGUGAAAAACUCGGGGCUUAACCCCCGAGCCUGCAGUGGAUACGGGCAGACUAGAGGUAGGUAGGGGAGAAUGGAAUUCCCGGUGUAGCAGUGAAAUGCGUAGAGAUCGUGAGGAAGACCAGUGGCGAAGGCGGGUCUCUGGACAGUUCCUGACACUGAGGCACGAAGGCCAGGGGAGCAAACGGG